GCCAGGUGUGGUGGUGCACACCUGUAAUCCUAGCUACUUGGGAGGCUGAGGCAAGAGAAUCACUUGAACCCAGGAGGCGGAGGUUGCGGUGAGCCAAGAUCAUGCCAUUGUACUCCAGCCUGGGUGACAGAGUGAGACUCUGUCUCAA
ensembl:misc_RNA Metazoa_SRP Metazoan signal recognition particle RNA